UACGUAGGCAGCGAUCGUUGUUCGGAGUUACUGGGCGUAAGGGGUGUGUAGGCGGUUCUCUAAGUUUGGUGUGAAAUCUCCCGGCUCAACUGGGAGGGUGCGCCGAAAACUGGAGGGCUAGAGUACGGGAUGGGAGAGUAGAAUUCCUGGUGUAGCGGUGAAAUGCGUAGAUAUCAGGAGGAAUACCGGUGGUGUAGACGGCUCUCUGGACCGUAACUGACGCUGAGACACGAAAGCGUGGGUAGAAAACAGG
rnacentral:rRNA from 1 species